CCAGGACUGAACCAGGACUAGACCAGGACUAGACCAGGACUAAACCAGGACUAGACCAGGACUAAACCAGGACUAGACCAGGACUAGACCAGGACUGAACCAGGACUAGACCAGGACUAAACCAGGACUAAACCAGGACUAGACCAGGACUAAACCAGGACUGAACCAGGACUAGACCAGGACUAAACCAGGACUAAACCAGGACUAGACCAGGACUAAACCAGGUCUAAACCAGGACUAAACCAGGUCUAAACCAGGACUAAACCAGGACUAAACCAGGACUGAACCAGGACUAAACCAGGACUGAACCAGGACUGAACCAGGACUAAACCAGGACUAGACCAGGACUAGACCAGGACUAGACCAGGACUGAACCAGGACUGAACCAGGACUAAACCAGGACUAGACCAGGACUGAACCAGGACUGAACCAGGACUAGACCAGGACUAGACCAGGACUAGACCAGGACUAGACCAGGACUAGAUCAGGACUAGACCAGGACUAAACCAG
ensembl:lncRNA